rnacentral:rRNA from 1 species
UACGUAGGGUGCGAGCGUUAAUCGGAAUUACUGGGCGUAAAGCGUGCGCAGGCGGUUUUGUAAGACAGGUGUGAAAUCCCCGGGCUUAACCUGGGAACUGCGCUUGUGACUGCAAGACUCGAGUACGGCAGAGGGGGGUAGAAUUCCACGUGUAGCAGUGAAAUGCGUAGAGAUGUGGAGGAAUACCGAUGGCGAAGGCAGCCCCCCUGGGCUAACACUGACGCUCAUGCACGAAAGCGUGGGGAGCAAACAGG